rnacentral:snRNA from 1 species
AUCGCUUCUCGGCCUUUUGGCUAAGAUCAAGUGUGGUAACUGCAUCCCCCUGAAUACGGGGGUGACUACUUUUGAGUUAAGUGAAUGUGGGCAAAAUACUAAACCUUU